CAAGCAGAAGCCUCCACGUGGCGCAUCCCGGGCAAUGCUGACGACAGGAACUGUAUCACAGUGACUGACUGAUGUAGCCAAUUCUGCAACCACCGACAGUCAACCGUCAAUGACCGUGAUAUAGAAGAUGGCCGGACACGAGGAAGAAGAAGAAGAAUUAUUUUAUAAACCUCCAGGAUGUUACCUGGAUUAUUCUGUUGAUGGUCAAUGAGGAGAGAUGUUGUUACCAAUCCGCACUGAAUGAGGUAUGCUGGUGAGAAUGGCAGGUAAAGCCUAUUCCACAAACGUGAGGAUGCACCUGGUGACCUGGAUUACCAAAGCCCAUUGAUUCGAAAGGUCUCGUGUGGAUUAGAGGAGACAAUUACUUUAUUUAUGUCCCCUAGUUCAUAAAUUGGAGGAUUUCAUGGACCACAUCUUCAGCAUAAUUCAACAACCUGUCAAGCAAUUAAGUCAGUUGAAGUGAUUUCAAUGGCAUAAGGAGGAGAUUCUAAAGACAGGAGUAACCUUGAGUGGCAGCUACAAUUGCUUCCAUAAAUUCCGUUAAUUCUACUCCAUUUUAGAACUUCAUAAAGUGAUCAGAUUAUUUCAAUCUCUUCUCAUGUAGAUUAUUUCUCAACGUUUUAAAAGAUGAGUACCAUCUUGAGAACUCUAUUACUCCAUAAAGUUGGAACAUUAUGCUGAACUUUGUUCCUAUUUUGGACCAGGGACAGGUGUGGUGGAAUGGGAGGUCUUUGUUGAACAACCCUCUGAAUUAAAAGUUGACUGAUAAAAUAAA